UCCGCCUCGGUGCCGCAGCUAACGCAUUAAGUACUCCGCCUGGGAAGUCAGCUCGCAAGAGUGAAACGAAAAGGAAUGAACGACGACCCGCACACGAAGAACCUUACCUAAGCUUGACAUCCCAAUGACAUCUCCUUAAUCGGAGAGUUCCCUUCGGGGACAUUGGUGACAGGUGGUGCAUGGUUGUCGUCAGCUCGUGUCGUGAGAUGUUGGGUUAAGUCCCGCAACGAGCGCAACCCUUGUCUUUAGUUGCCAUCAUUAAGUUGGGCACUCUAGAGAGACUGCCAGGGAUAACCUGGAGGAAGGUGGGGAUGACGUCAAAUCAUCAUGCCCCUUAUGCUUAGGGCUACACACGUGCUACAAUGGGUAGUACAGAGGGUUGCCAAGCCGUAAGG
rnacentral:rRNA from 1 species